GAACGAACGCUGGCGGCGCGCUUAACACAUGCAAGUCGAACGAGAAGGCGUAGCAAUACGCUUGUACAGUGGCGAACGGGUGAGUAAUACGUGGGCGACCUACCCUCGAGUGGGGAAUAACCCGCCGAAAGGCGGGCUAAUGCCGCGUACGCUUCCAUCUUUAUGGAGGUGGAAGGAAAGCCGUGCCGUGGGCACGGCGCUCAAGGAUGGGCUCACGUCCUAUCAGCUUGUUGGUAGGGAACGGCCUACCAAGGCUCCGACGGGUAGCUGGUCUGAGAGGACGAUCAGCCACACUGGCACUGCGACACGGGCCAGACUCCUACGGGNGCAGCAGUGAGGAAUAUUGCGCAAUGGGCGAAAGCCUGACGCAGCGACGCCGCGGUGGGGGAGUGAAGGGU
rnacentral:rRNA from 1 species